AGAGGGUGCGAGCGUUGUUCGGAAUUACUGGGCGUAAAGCGCGCGCAGGCGGCCUUUUAAGUCUGCUGGUGAAAUGCCGGGGCUCAACCCCGUGCCCGCCACAGAUACUGGGAGGCUGGAGACGAGUAGAGGCAAGCGGAAUUCCGGGUGUAGCGGUGGAAUGCGUAGAGAUCCGGAAGAACACCGGAGGCGAAGGCGGCUUGCUGGGCUCGGUCUGACGCUGAGGCGCGAAAGCGUGGGGAGCGAACAGGAUUAGAUACCCUGGUAGUCCACGCCGUAAACGAUGGGCACUAGACGCUGGUGGGAUCGACCCCUUCGGUGUCGCAGCUAACGCGAUAAGUGCCCCGCCUGGGGAGUACGGCCGCAAGGCUG
rnacentral:rRNA from 1 species